rnacentral:rRNA from 1 species
UACGUAGGAGGCAAGCGUUGUCCGGAAUUAUUGGGCGUAAAGAGCUCGUAGGCGGUCUGUUGCGUCCGCUGUGAAAACUCGGGGCUUAACCCCGGGCCUGCAGUGGGUACGGGCAGACUAGAGUGCGGUAGGGGAGACUGGAAUUCCUGGUGUAGCGGUGAAAUGCGCAGAUAUCAGGAGGAACACCGGUGGCGAAGGCGGGUCUCUGGGCAACAACUGACGCUGAGGAGCGAAAGCGUGGGGAGCGAACAGG